ACGUAGGGAGCGAGCGUUAUCCGGAUUCAUUGGGCGUAAAGAGCGCGUAGGCGGCCUCUCAAGCGGGAUCUCUAAUCCGAGGGCUCAACCCCCGGCCGGAUCCCGAACUGGGAGGCUCGAGUUCGGUAGAGGCAGGCGGAAUUCCCGGUGUAGCGGUGGAAUGCGCAGAUAUCGGGAAGAACACCGAUGGCGAAGGCAGCCUGCUGGGCCGCAACUGACGCUGAGGCGCGAAAGCUAGGGGAGCGAACAG
rnacentral:rRNA from 1 species